AGAGUUUGAUCCUGGCUCAGGAUGAACGCUAGCUACAGGCUUAACACAUGCAAGUCGAGGGGCAGCAUUGGAGUAGCAAUACUCAGAUGGCGACCGGCGCACGGGUGAGUAACACGUAUCCAACCUGCCGCUUACUCGGGGAUAGCCUUUCGAAAGAAAGAUUAAUACCCGAUGGUAUAAAGAGUUCGCAUGUUCUCUUUAUUAAAGAAUUUCGGUAAGCGAUGGGGAUGCGUUCCAUUAGAUAGUUGGCGGGGUAACGGCCCACCAAGUCUACGAUGGAUAGGGGUUCUGAGAGGAAGGUCCCCCACAUUGGAACUGAGACACGGUCCAAACUCCUACGGGAGGCAGCAGUGAGGAAUAUUGGUCAAUGGACGAGAGUCUGAACCAGCCAAGUAGCGUGAAGGAUGACUGCCCUAUGGGUUGUAAACUUCUUUUAUAAGGGAAUAAAGUGAGGGACGUGUCCCUUUUUGUAUGUACCUUAUGAAUAAGGAUCGGCUAACUCCGUGCCAGCCGCAGC
rnacentral:rRNA from 1 species